UACGUAGGGUGCAAGCGUUAAUCGGAAUUACUGGGCGUAAAGCGUGCGCAGGCGGUUUUGUAAGUCUGUCGUGAAAUCCCCGGGCUCAACCUGGGAAUUGCGAUGGAGACUGCAAGGCUAGAAUCUGGCAGAGGGGGGUAGAAUUCCACGUGUAGCAGUGAAAUGCGUAGAGAUGUGGAGGAACACCGAUGGCGAAGGCAGCCCCCUGGGCUGAGAUUGACGCUCAGGCACGAAAGCGUGGGGAGCCAACAGG
rnacentral:rRNA from 1 species